rnacentral:miRNA from 1 species
CCGGCGGCGGCGGCGACUC